rnacentral:rRNA from 1 species
GACGAACGCUGGCGGCGUGCUUAACACAUGCAAGUCGAACGAAGUGGCGAACGGGUGAGUAACGCGUAAUCAACCUGCCCUUCAGAGGGGGACAACCGUUGGAAACGACUGCUAAUACCGCAUACUGAAGGAGGGGAUUGCGUCUGAUUUGCUAGUUGGAGGGGUACCGGCCCACCAGGGCGAUGAUCAGUAGCUGGACGGAGAGGAGGAGCGGCCACAUUGGGACGUGGACACGGCCCAGACUCCUACGGGAGGCAGCAGUGGUGAGUCUUCCGCAAUGGACGAAGGUCUGACGGAGCAACGCCGCGUGAGUGAUGACGGCCUUCGGGUUGUAAAGCUCUGUUAAUCGGGACGCGGUACCGGAAUAGAAAGCCACGGCUAACUACGUGCCAGCAGCCGCGGUAAUUC